CAGCACCAUGCUAAGCACUUUACAUGUUCUCUAUAAUUUAGUCCAAUAGCUCUUUGAGAUAGGAACUAUUACUCUAUCGACUCUACCCAGUAGACACUGCCAGAGCCAGGCACAGAGUCCAGGCAGCCUGACUCCAGAGCUGAGCUGGAAACCGCUCUGUCUGCUGAAUGGCCUCCUCUAUUCCUACCAGACAAGCCCUGAACCUUGGCUUCCUCACCUGCCAAAGCAAGGCCUGGGAUCCUGAAUGGGGGUAGGGAAUGAGGCUGUGCAGCAACCCCUCCAUUCAUUCGGCGCAUACUUACUGGAUGAGCGCUUCAGUGAUCUCUGCCAUCCCGAGAUCAUCACUCCUAGCCUCCUCUGGAAACUCUCUGAGAGUUGGGGAAUUGUCUCUUUUAUAAGAGGCCUACACAGGCACGAGGUCAUACUUGGGCAGUUUUCGGCUUUGUGAAAAUCUCUCAGAUUGCACCGCACAGUAUACAACUGAUGAACCAGACAACCACAAUCGUUCUUUGGAUUGCAUUUUCUCCUGAGAUAUCAGACGCAUUUCACCAGGGCCACAGAAAGAAAAAUGAAGACCAAGAUACCGUGACAAAUGCCAACUACCUCAUAAGUGCAGAUAUUUUCAGUUAUCUAGGUAGCUAGAGCUUUGCAUAGGUGACAGGGAAGAUGAUGCCAUCAGAUCUGUGCUUCACAUAGAGAAGUCCGGCUUCGAGAUGGAGUCACCGGAGCAUGGUGUGCGGGCACUCAGUAAAGUGGAGAUGUGAUUACUAGAUCAUUAUGGCAAUAUAAGAUAAAAACGUGCUGCGGGAAGUGAGAAAAACUACAUGCCCCCCCAUGCUGAGUGCCCACAGGAGGCGCACGGGUAGUGCAGGAAAAAGGCAAAUGGCCAUAGUUCCUGAAACCAGCAUAAAUUAAAACAAAAUACAAAUCAUACCCUGGCAAAUGGCAAGUAACAGCCUAUUGCCAGUAUGCGAAUCACGUUGUGAUUUUUUAAAAUUUGUUUUGUAAUAAAUAAUUUGUUUGAA
rnacentral:lncRNA from 1 species